GGGAUUGUAGUUCAAUUGGUCAGAGCAUCGCCCUAUCAAGGCGAAAGUUGUGGGUUUGAGCCCCGUCAGUCUCG
rnacentral:tRNA from 1 species